GAUGAACGCUGGCGGCGUGCCUAAUACAUGCAAGUCGAGCGAACGGACGAGAAGCUUGCUUCUCUGAUGUUAGCGGCGGACGGGUGAGUAACACGUGGAUAACCUACCUAUAAAACUGGGAUAACUUCGGGAAACCGGAGCUAAUACCGGAUAAUAUUUUGAACCGCAUGGUUCAAAAGUGAAAGACGGUCUUGCUGUCACUUAUAGAUGGAUCCGCGCUGCAUUAGCUAGUUGGUAAGGUAACGGCUUACCAAGGCAACGAUGCAUAGCAGACCUGAGAGGGUGAUCGGCCACACUGGAACUGAGACACGGUCCAGACUCCUACGGGAGGCAGCAGUAGGGAAUCUUCCGCAAUGGGCGAAAGCCUGACGGAGCAACGCCGCGUGAGUGAUGAAGGUCUUCGGAUCGUAAAACUCUGUUAUUAGGGAAGAACAUAUGUGUAAGUAACUGUGCACAUCUUGACGGUACCUAAUCAGAAAGCCACGGCUAACUACGUG
rnacentral:rRNA from 1 species